GGCCUCCUAGCUCAGCUGGUAGAGCGUGCGCCGUACAAAAGCGUAGGCGGCGUCCAUGCAUGGGUUCGAAUCCCAUCGAGGCUA
rfam:Echinostoma caproni strain Egypt genome assembly, scaffold: ECPE_scaffold0001634